ensembl:lncRNA novel transcript
CAUGCACUUUCUGGACAUGCCAAAGUAAAGCCCUUUGAUCCCAAGAUUACCUGCAAACAGGAAUGUCUUAUCACAACUUUUCAAGAUGUCUACUUUGUAUCUGAAAGUUUUGAAGAUGCAAAGGAGAAGAUGAGAGAAUUUACCAAAACAAUUAAGCGUCCAUUUGGAGUGAAGUAUAAUCCAUAUACACGGAGUAUUCAGAUCCUGAAAGACACCAAGAGCAUAACCAGUGCCAUGAAUGAGCUGCAGCAUGAUCUCGAUGUUGUCAGUGAUGCCCUUGCUAAGGGUGCAAAUAGCUAUGGGCAACUUGGCCUCGGCCAUAAGGAAGAUGUGCUGUUGCCCCAGCAACUGAAUGACUUCUGUAAACCCAGGAGUGUCAGGAGGAUCACAGGAGGAGGGGGCCACUCUGCAGUUGUCACAGAUGGAGGAGACCUCUUUGUUUGUGGCCUGAACAAAGAUGGGCAACUGGGGCUUGGUCACACAGAGGAUAUCCCAUAUUUUACCCCCUGCAAAUCCCUCUUUGGCUGUCCCAUCCAACAGGUGGCCUGUGGCUGGGAUUUUACGAUUAUGCUCACAGAAAAUGGUCAAGUUCUAUCAUGUGGAUCCAACUCCUUUGGCCAGUUAGGAGUUCCUCAUGGACCUCGAAGAUGUGUGGUUCCCCAGGCCAUUGAGCUCCAUAAAGAGAAGG